GCUUCAGCGCCUCCCGGGUCUGCGUGGCCUGCUCGGCUCAGAGGCCUCCACCACGGUCCGCUCCCUGCCGGACGCCGCGCUGCUGUGGCCGCGGUGGUUCUGUGGCUGUGAGGGCCGUUUCUGUCCGUCCACACCGCCUUCCCUCUGCAGAUUUCCUCUGCAGAGGCCCGGAGUUACCAGCAAGGUCUGACGCAGCAGAGUGCAGAAACGGCCUCCCUGUCUGUCAAAGUGGCCUCCCGAGGACACCCAGCGAGGCCACCAGAUCAUCACGUGGAGUAUCGGUGGCCUUAUUAAAACAAAAACAACAACUCCACAGCCCGGCGAGCGAUGUGCUUGCCUCCCCUUCACCUUCUGCCAUGAUUAUAAGUUUUCUGAGGCCUCCCAGUCAUGCUUUCUGUUAAGCCUGCAGAACUGUGAACAUCAAGUCUUUUCAUCUAUGAGAACUUUGAUUCCACUGUUGUAGUAUUUGAUCUCUUGUUGCCUCCCUGUCUAUUCCUCAUCCUUUGGCUGGGACACUCCUCUGAGCAGAGGGGACCAGAGUCAUGGGAGCAGUGAUGGCCUGUAUCCUUGUCCUGAGCCUGACUUGAAAGGCAGUGCCUCUAGUUUCCCCACUCCACACAAUGUUUGUUGGUUAAUGACAGUGUGGUAUAAUGUAUUUAAUCUUCAAGGUAAUACCAUUGUAAUAGGCUGUGGAAAUUCAUUGAGGUUAUCUUUGUGGCCUAAUAAAUGCUCCAUUUUUAAAUGUCCCAUAGAUGUUUAAAAAUAAUUUCUAUGCUCUGUUAGGAAAUUUAUUUUUUAUGUAUCUAUUUGGUCAAGCUUUUCAGUUGUGUAUUCAAAUUCUCAUUUGUUUCAUAUGUUGUAUUAUUGGUCAGUUUCUAAAAUUGUGUUAAUGGUUCCUGUAAUCAUUGUGGAUUUGUCCACUUCCCCUUGUAUUUAUAACAGCUUUUGUUGUAUUUCAACCUGUCGGUAAGGGAAUAAAAUUCAUGGCUCA
ensembl:lncRNA novel transcript